CCAAUAGCGUAUAUUAAAGUUGUUGCAGUUAAAAAGCUCGUAGUUGAAUUUUGGAUUCUUCCAAUUGGUCCAUCUUUUAGAUGAGUACUGGUUGUGUGGGGUCUAUCCGCCUGGUGAUACGUAAUGUCCUUUAUUGGAUGUUGCGGGUAGUCAGGACCUUUACCUUGAAAAAAUUAGAGUGUUUAAAGCAGGCUUAUGCCGGAAUACAUUAGCAUGGAAUAAUAGAAUAGGACGAAGUUGUUUUAUUUUGUUGGUUUCUAGGACAACCGUAAUGAUUAAUAGGGAUAGUUGGGGGCAUUAGUAUUCAAUUGUCAGAGGUGAAAUUCUUGGAUUUAUUGAAGACUAACUACUGCGAAAGCAUUUGCCAAGGAUGUUUUCAUUAAUCAAGAACGAAAGUUAGGGGAUCGAAGACGAUCAGAUACCGUCGUAGUCUUAACCAUAAACUAAGCCGACUAGGGAUCGGGCGAUGUUGUUUCCAUGACUCGCUCGGCACCUUAUG
rnacentral:rRNA from 1 species